GGCUACGACAGCAGCAACACCGGCGAAGACGAGGAGGACGAGGGCGCUGCUCGCACAGCUGGGGUGCAAUGGCGCCUUGGCGUCUGCGCGUUGGCUGCGUCCUCCUCGCGGCUUUCCUCGUCUUGACGCCCGUCGCUCGCGCCGAGGAGGCCCAGCGACAAACCCCGAAAGUUGGUCCGCCGGGAACAGGUGAUCAGCGGGCCGAGAAGCAAACAGAGCAGGUUAAAGAGGCCGCGACGAAGACUUCAGGCCAGCUCGAAGCUUCCCCGGUGCCACGGACAAAACAGGGCGAUAGUGUUCAGGCGUCCAAAACAACGUCUCCGGUGAAGUUCAAGGACUCCGCAGUGCAGGAUGCCGAGAAGAAGGCAGAACGCAUAGAGCCCUCCGAAGCUCCGAAAGAGGCAGAAGGGAGUCCACGAGAUACAAGCGCUAGCCACGACACAGACGGUGGUUUGGCGGGUGACCAGCGUCCCAGGCAGCAGCCGAUCGCGGCGUCGAUGGAAGACGACGCCAGAGAAGGGGGCGCCUCGGGCAGUGGAGUCGGAGAGGAAGAGCAGCAGCUGCUGGAGGACUCCGCGGACCCGUCCGCCUUGGAGGACCUCCAGCACCUCAGGGACGUUCUCGACGGCCGGGAUUCGAGACGAGAGGAAGGCGAAGGGAGCCUGUCGGCGUACGUGAAGAACGCCCUGAGCACCAUGUACUCCAUAAUCACCUACGACUUCUGCCAGGCGCCGGCGGCCAUCCCAGCGGAACCCGCGACUCCGCAACGAGCGGUCCACGCACAGACCUCACCCCCAGCACCGGGCAAAGCAGGAGAGGACAAAGGAGCCGGCGACACGAAGGCAUUGUCGUGCAGUCAGAAGGGCGGUCGCCUGGCCGACUGGCGCGCCUGGAGGGAGGCGGGACACAGGAAACCCAAGGCCGUACUCGCCAGACUCGCCUGUCUCCUGCGGUCGGCGGGCUACCGGCUCUACCCGGUGCGCCGCCCAGCGCAGUUCUGGCCGCAGGGCGACGUGUGCACGGCGCUAUGCCACUCGUGCGAGUGCGACUUCGACGCCAACUCGACCUGCUCCCUGGCUCGGGAGGCCUGGAAGGCGCGCACCCCCGCCGUGGUGUACGCUCUCUACGCGGCCCUGCACCACUCGCGCGCCCUGUGCGCCACGGCCCUGCUGCUGAGCGUGCUGCGCAAGCACUACGUGUACCGGGUCGUGCUCUGCACUCCGCUCAUCAUCCUCCUCGCCAUGGUGACGAGGUGUCUUUACGUUUUGAUGCAACUGAGACGCUACCUCGAGAACAGCGCCACACCGGCCAUAAACACGAGGGACUGUUCGAACCGGCAUAGUGAGGACGAGGACAUCGGCAUGUCACCCCUGGAGAGGCACCGCCGACGCGACCUUCCUCUCAACGAAGAGCAUCCUGACAAACACGCCGAGGCUCUCAUCAGCAAGCUAAACCACGCGAUGUCGUCGCUCCGGAGUUUCUGCACCUUCCUAGAAACAACUAGGGGAUACUACAAGACCAGGAUAGACUACGCCCUGCGUGAAAUGCUCGACGUCGUGUUUCGCCUGCAGGAGCCCAAAGCAUAGCCUGGUUCUUUUUCAGCCUCACCCGAACGGGAAGCUACGAGAUCUGGCACUGACACGACCCCCCCACGCAUCCAAGAUUGCAAAGAAGACGAAUCAGGAAGAGCGCUCCGUCGCACUCACGCUUCACGAUAAUAAAGAUUGGCAAAUUCUCAUUUCGUCUCUACACA